rnacentral:rRNA from 1 species
UACGUAGGGCGCAAGCGUUGUCCGGAUUUAUUGGGCGUAAAGAGCUCGUAGGCGGUCCGUCGCGUCGGCUGUGAAAACCCGAGGCUCAACCUCGGGCCUGCAGUCGAUACGGGCAGACUAGAGUGCGGUAGGGGAGACUGGAAUUCCUGGUGUAGCGGUGAAAUGCGCAGAUAUCAGGAGGAACACCGGUGGCGAAGGCGGGUCUCUGGGCCGUUCCUGACGCUGAGGCACGAAGGUCAGGGGAGCAAACGGG